AUUGGUGCAAAUCCAAUCAA
rnacentral:snRNA from 1 species